rnacentral:tRNA from 1 species
GGGCCCAUAGCUCAGCAUGGAUAGAGCAACGGCCUCCGGAGCCGUUGGUCCAGGGUUCAAAUCCCUGUGGGCCCG